ACGCCGAAGCGUGCGGUUGUAGCCGCCGUGCAGCACCGUCUGCGUGUUGUUGUGCCACACGGAGAACUUGAGCGAGUCCCACUCCAGGCACCACGAGUAGG
ensembl:miRNA